UACGUAGGGGGCAAGCGUUGUCCGGAAUCAUUGGGCGUAAAGCGCGUGUAGGCGGUCCGGUAAGUCCGCUGUGAAAGUCGGGGGCUCAACCCUCGGAUGCCGGUGGAUACUGUCGGGCUUGAGUACGGAAGAGGCGAGUGGAAUUCCUGGUGUAGCGGUGAAAUGCGCAGAUAUCAGGAGGAACACCUAUUGCGAAGGCAGCUCGCUGGGACGUUACUGACGCUGAGACGCGAAAGCGUGGGGAGCAAACAGG
rnacentral:rRNA from 1 species